AAAACGGAAGCGCUGUCUUGGAUGAUACGUCCUUGGAAGAUUGACUACAACAAUAAGGAGCAGGAGAACAUAACGACAUGAGGGAGGACAGCGUGAAAAAAAAGAGAGAGAGCGAUAGAGAGAGAGAAAUCAGAAAGGCGUAAAGAGUUAAGUAAAAGUCAGCUCUUAAAUGUUUUGACCGGGAUAUAAAACUGUUAUAAAAUAACAAAUAAAACACUAAUAUUAUUAAUGACUUUAAGAUAAAUAACAAUACUGAUAAUACAUAAUCAUGAAUACUAAGUCGUACACUCAGUUGACUUUGGGCUGGAUGCUUUUGCUGGACCUGGCAACCCUGCUCUCGAGGCACCUGAGUGAAAGGUGUGGCGGCGUUUCUCCCGCGUGCGAUGGCGUCGCUGCGGCAGCGCGCAGUUCCACCUUAAAUCCGUAUGCAGUUACAGGAGGCCGCAGGAACAACUGA
ensembl:lncRNA